UACAGAGGGUGCGAGCGUUGUCCGGAAUUACUGGGCGUAAAGGGCGCGUAGGCGGCCUGCUAAGUCGAACGUGAAAUCCCCGGGCUCAACCCGGGAACUGCGUCCGAUACUGGUUGGCUUGAAUCCGGGAGAGGGAUGCGGAAUUCCAGGUGUAGCGGUGAAAUGCGUAGAUAUCUGGAGGAACACCGGUGGCGAAGGCGGCAUCCUGGACCGGCAUUGACGCUGAGGCGCGAAAGCCAGGGGAGCAAACGGG
rnacentral:rRNA from 1 species